UACGUAGGGUGCGAGCGUUGUCCGGAAUUACUGGGCGUAAAGAGCUCGUAGGCGGUCUGUCACGUCGGCUGUGAAAUCCCGAGGCUCAACCUCGGGUCUGCAGUCGAUACGGGCAAACUAGAGUACUGCAGGGGAGACUGGAAUUCCUGGUGUAGCGGUGAAAUGCGCAGAUAUCAGGAGGAACACCGGUGGCGAAGGCGGGUCUCUGGGCAGUAACUGACGCUGAGGAGCGAAAGCGUGGGGAGCGAACAGG
rnacentral:rRNA from 1 species